GGCCUGCGCGGAAGAUGUAACGGGGCUAAACCAUGCACCGAAGCUGCGGCAGCGACACUGUGUGUUGUUGGGUAGGGGAGCGUUCUGUAAGCCUGUGAAGGUGGCCUGUGAGGGUUGCUGGAGGUAUCAGAAGUGCGAAUGCUGACAUAAGUAACGAUAAAGCGGGUGAAAAGCCCGCUCGCCGGAAGACCAAGGGUUCCUGUCCAACGUUAAUCGGGGCAGGGUGAGUCGACCCCUAAGGCGAGGCCGAAAGGCGUAGUCGAUGGGAAACGGGUUAAUAUUCCCGUACUUGGUGUUACUGCGAAGGGGGGACGGAGAAGGCUAUGUUGGCCGGGCGACGGUUGUCCCGGUUUAAGCGUGUAGGUGUGUGUUCCAGGUAAAUCCGGUUCACUUUAACACUGAGGCGUGAUGACGAGGCACUACGGUGCUGAAGCAACAAAUGCCCUGCUUCCAGGAAAAGCCUCUAAGCAUCAGGUAACAUCAAAUCGUACCCCAAACCGACACAGGUGGUCAGGUAGAGAAUACCAAGGCGCUUGAGAGAACUCGGGUGAAGGAACUAGGCAAAAUGGUGCCGUAACUUCGGGAGAAGGCACGCUGACAUGUAGGUGAAGUGAUUUACUCAUGGAGCUGAAGUCAGUCGAAGAUACCAGCUGGCUGCAACUGUUUAUUAAAAACACAGCACUGUGCAAACACGAAAGUGGACGUAUACGGUGUGACGCCUGCCCGGUGCCGGAAGGUUAAUUGAUGGGGUCAGCGCAAGCGAAGCUCCUGAUCGAAGCCCCGGUAAACGGCGGCCGUAACUAUAACGGUCCUAAGGUAGCGAAAUUCCUUGUCGGGUAAGUUCCGACCUGCACGAAUGGCGUAAUGAUGGCCAGGCUGUCUCCACCCGAGACUCAGUGAAAUUGAACUCGCUGUGAAGAUGCAGUGUACCCGCGGCAAGACGGAAAGACCCCGUGAACCUUUACUAUAGCUUGACACUGAACAUUGAGCCUUGAUGUGUAGGAUAGGUGGGAGGCUUUGAAGCGUGGACGCCAGUCUGCGUGGAGCCGGCCUUGAAAUACCACCCUUUAAUGUUUGAUGUUCUAACGUGGACCCGUGAUCCGGGUUGCGGACAGUGUCUGGUGGGUAGUUUGACUGGGGCGGUCUCCUCCUAAAGAGUAACGGAGGAGCACGAAGGUUGGCUAAUCCUGGUCGGACAUCAGGAGGUUAGUGCAAUGGCAUAAGCCAGCUUGACUGCGAGCGUGACGGCGCGAGCAGGUGCGAAAGCAGGUCAUAGUGAUCCGGUGGUUCUGAAUGGAAGGGCCAUCGCUCAACGGAUAAAAGGUACUCCGGGGAUAACAGGCUGAUACCGCCCAAGAGUUCAUAUCGACGGCGGUGUUUGGCACCUCGAUGUCGGCUCAUCACAUCCUGGGGCUGAAGUAGGUCCCAAGGGUAUGGCUGUUCGCCAUUUAAAGUGGUACGCGAGCUGGGUUUAGAACGUCGUGAGACAGUUCGGUCCCUAUCUGCCGUGGGCGCUGGAGAACUGAGGGGGGCUGCUCCUAGUACGAGAGGACCGGAGUGGACGCAUCACUGGUGUUCGGGUUGUCAUGCCAAUGGCACUGCCCGGUAGCUAAAUGCGGAAGAGAUAAGUGCUGAAAGCAUCUAAGCACGAAACUUGCCCCGAGAUGAGUUCU
rnacentral:rRNA from 1 species